rnacentral:tRNA from 1 species
GCCCUGGUGGUGCAGUGGUUAAGAAUUCAGCUGCUAACUGAAAAGCUGGUGGUUCGAACCCACUCAGUGGCU